rnacentral:rRNA from 1 species
UACGGAGGGUGCAAGCGUUAAUCGGCAUUACUGGGCGUAAAGCGUGCGCAGGCGGUUUGUUAAGUCCGUUGUGAAAGCCCCGAGCUCAACUUGGGAAUUGCAGUGGAUACUGGCAGGCUGGAGUACGGUAGAGGAAGGUGGAAUUCCCGGUGUAGCAGUGAAAUGCGUAGAUAUCGGGAGGAACACCAGUGGCGAAGGCGGCCUUCUGGACCAGUACUGACGCUCAUGCACGAAAGCGUGGGGAGCAAACAGG